rnacentral:rRNA from 1 species
UAGGGAAUCUUCGGCCCUGUGGGGCAACCCUGACCGAGCAACGCCGCGUGAGUGAAGAAGGUUUUCGGAUCGUAAAGCUCUGUUGUAAGUCAAGAACGAGUGUGAGAGUGGAAAGUUCACACUGUGACGGUAGCUUACCAGAAAGGGACGGCUAACUACGUGCCAGCAGCCGCGGUAAUACGUAGGUCCCGAGCGUUGUCCGGAUUUAUUGGGCGUAAAGCGAGCGCAGGCGGUUUGAUAAGUCUGAAGUUAAAGGCUGUGGCUCAACCAUAGUUCGCUUUGGAAACUGUCAAACUUGAGUGCAGAAGGGGAGAGUGGAAUUCCAUGUGUAGCGGUGAAAUGCGUAGAUAUAUGGAGGAACACCGGUGGCGAAAGCGGCUCUCUGGUCUGUAACUGACGCUGAGGCUCGAAAGCGUGGGGAGCGAACAGGAUUAGAUACCCUGGUAGUCCACGCCGUAAACGAUGAGUGCUAGGUGUUGGGUCCUUUCCGGGAUUCAGUGCCGCAGCUAACGCAUUAAGCACUCCGCCUGGGGAGUACGACCGCAAGGUUG